UACAACAAACGCUUUUUACGAUGAGCUUAUCUAUGAGCUCUUUAAAAAAAAAUUAACUUCCCUCAUUCUCUUUUGUUUCGUUGUUCGACUUUGUCUUUGUGCCUUUCCUUCAAAUUCGUUCAUCCUGAAAGAGUCGUUUCAUCACCGUACUUCUUACGGCAUUGCCUCAAGAAUUGGAUGUAGUGCUCCAUUCUGGGUUCAGGUAUCCAUGUUCCUUUUUUCCCUCCUUCUCUUCUCUAUUUCUUCUCCUUUUCGAAAACCCUAGCCUAAGGGAACAAGGUCAUGAGAGUGCGAGUGGCCUGAGGGAGAGCAUCUAAUGCUCUGAGGAGAAAUAGGUAGGAGCGAUUCAUGAGAGCAAGGUUUAAUUCUGAGUGGUUAUUUAAGAUCUUUAAAAUUGCGGGUAUUAUGUUUGUAUGGUCAGAACGCCAUUGCAAUAAUUCAUUGCCCCGAGAUGGAGUGCUCCCACAGUGGAUAGAAGAAUUCUUGGGCAUACAGUUUGGGGGAGGCCUUUCUCAAGGUUAAAAGCAUGUAUGCGGAAGAAUAUUAGUACUGGAUUUGUAUCAAUCCUCUUCCAGGAAAUGGAAAAAUAUGGAAUUGAGGGGAGUCGACUUCAACUACUAAGAGAUGUUAGUGGUGCUUUCAGGCCCAAAGUACUAACAACAUUAGUAGGUGUAACUGGUGCUAGGAAAACCACAUUGAUGGAUGUUCUAGCUAGAAGAAAAACUAGUGGUUAUAUUGAAGGAAGCAUCAACAUAUCUGGUUACCCAAAAAAAGCAAGCAACUUUUGCUCGGAUUAGUGGUUAUUGUGAACAAAAUGAUAUUCACUCUCCAAAUAUCACAGUGCAUGAACCUGUUAUGUUUUCUGCUUGGUUGGCAAGGAGGUCAACAGUAAAACAAGGAAGGCCUUACCUAUAAGAAACUCAAUUGUAUUAUCUACGAUACAUCAGACAUAUAGAGUUGGUUUUUUGAAGGAUGUUGUUUUGGCUAGAGUUUUGGAUGAUGCUACUGUUGCUAAUCUUAACUCCAUAGUACAUGCAGACAAUGCCAUUGAUGACAACACAUUUAUCAGGAAUUGUUUGCUAGGUUACAAUCACCCACCACUUCUCUUGAAUCAAAGAAAAAUAUGGUUCCACCCCACUGACGAAAAACUUGUUGCUUAUUACCUUAAAAGGAAGAUCAAUAGUCGAAAGAUGGAGUUGGAAACCAUUCCAGAAAUUGAUCUCUACAAGUGUGAACCAUAGGACUUACCAGGAUACAAUUCAUACUAGGAGCAAGAAAAAUCAGCAACCUCUUCUUGAAGGCUUGAGUGAAACUUGAAGGAGAGGGAAGAAAGUUCGAAGAUCAUCUAGAUAUUAUUCCCUUCUCUUGAGAGAUUGUUGCAACCCUCACCAGAAGCAUCUAACUAGAGCACAUAAGAGAUGGUUGAGGAGGAGGGCCCUAGGAGACGCACUCUGGCGGGUGCUACCAAUGUGGUUGGCGCUCAACACUUUAACAGUAUUGCAAGGCUAAGGGUCAGUGCUUUGAACAUGGAAGUUAAAUUGGCGUUGAUUCACUUGGUGCAAAACAACCAGUUUAAUGGGCUAUCACAUGAAAGCCCAUAUGAUCAUCUCACCACAUUCAAUGAGAUAUGCAACACGGUGAAGAUCAAUGGAGUGGCGGAUGAAACAAUUAAACUUAACUUAUUUCCUUUCUCAUUGGGUGGCAAUACUAAACUUUGGUUAAAUUCUUUCCUGAAAGACAGCUUUACAACCUGGGAGGUUGUGGUGGCAGAACUUCUGAACAAAUAUUUUCCACAGUCUAAAAUCAACAAGGUAAAAUGAAGAUUUCUUCUUUCAGGAAAGGCAUGAAGGAAACCCUAGGCCAAACAUGAGACAAAUUUAAAAGCUUGUUGAGAAAGGGACUUGUGCAUGGUUUUGAUGAUACAAUUGUAGUUCUCACGUUCCUUUGAGGUCUUGGCACCCAGUCAAAGCUUAUGCUAGAUGCCACAGUUGGAGGCAAUAUCAAAUGCAAGACCGCGGAAGAAGCUUAUGAGUUGUGAUAACGGUCUAAAAACCAUUAUUUUUACACUUUAAUUUGAUAUCAAAUCACACCCUUUAUGGCUUAGAAUGAGCUUAGAAUCAUGCAAAACUCUUAGUUUAGUCAUAAAAUAGUCAAAAGAGGUUUUUAGAGAUAUUAUGCUUGUUUUACAUUGUUUUUGUAGGAUUUGAUGAGAAUUGAAAGAUGGAAGAGAAUAAGGGAGGACUUAGACUCAAGAAAGGAUGAGAAAUGAAGCAAAAGAUGAGUGAGGUCCACCGCGCCAGCUUCGAGGAGGAAGACACUAUUUCUCGCCUGAGCGGCGAUGCUGAGCGUCCUGCGACUUUGGGGUCCAGCGUUGAGCAUCAGUUUCCACCGCUGAGUGCCCUACGAUUAUGAGGGCCACUGCUGAGCGGUCAAAUGGGCGCGGAGCGCCUAAAUGAUGGGCCUGGGCUGAAAUUCUGUUACUUUUUUGUGUUAUAAAUAGCCCCAGUGUGAUCCUCAGAGUAAUCUUUUGGCAAAGGAAGACUUAAGAGCACCUUCUACACUUCUUGGAAGCGGUUUCUUGGAUGCUUAGGCUUCAAUUUAUCAAAUCUAGGGUUUACUCUUUCAUCUUUUCCAUUAAUUCCAUGUAGUUUCACCACGUUCAUGGUGAGCUAAUCCCUUUGUUGUUGGGGAACAAUGUAGUCCUUUUGAAACUCUCUUGUAUCAAAUUUCUUAUUAUAUUC